GACGAACGCUGGCGGCGUGCUUAACACAUGCAAGUCGAACGAAGUGGCGAACGGGUGAGUAACGCGUAAUCAACCUGCCCUUCAGAGGGGGACAACAGUUGGAAACGACUGCUAAUACCGCAUACUGAAGGAGGGGAUUGCGUCUGAUUAGCUAGGUGGAUGGGUAACGGCCCACCAAGGCGAGGAUCAUUAGCCGGUCGUGUAAGAUGUACGGCCACAAUGGGACUGAGAACACGCCCAGCCUCCUACGGGAGGCAGCAGUGGGGAAUUUUUCGCAAUGGACGAAAGUCUGACGGAGCAACGCCGCGUGAGUGAUGACGGCCUUCGGGUUGUAAAGCUCUGUUAAUCGGGACGCGGUACCGGAAUAGAAAGCAACGGCUAACUACGUGCCAGCAGCCGCGGUAAUUC
rnacentral:rRNA from 1 species